rnacentral:hammerhead_ribozyme from 1 species
AUUCAGCUGAGGAGUCCCAAAUAGGACGAAAUUCGCUUCAUGGAU